rnacentral:lncRNA from 1 species
GCACCAAACAACCUUCUUGAUUCAUAAACAGAUUUCCCUCCCAAAAACAACAGAAUUUGGCAAUGAAAAAUAAAUAUGUUCAAUCAUGAAGUUACUGACAACAUCCAAUCCAAGUCCAUCAUUUUCGUACGAUCGACUGCACAAGUUUAGUAAGUAAGGGAAUUUGGAAUGGAAAUUAGAGGCAGAGGCUGAAGUAGUGAACUCCCAUACCGUUUGCUUGGUUAAGUUUGUACGCGUGAGAUGCUCCAUCCAGUGCCUCCUCUUUCUUUCAGUGAUGCGUGAUUCUCCUUUUGCGUGUUCUAUUCCUCAUUUCUUAUAUGCAAUCCAUCUUCAUGUAUCAUGUUGGGUCACUUUAGCAUAAGUCAUGUGACCUUUUCUUGCGCUAUCCAUUGGUUUGUUUUCUAUUCACACCAACCCAUAAGACUAAAACACUUAUUAAUAAUAUUUGCUCUCAACCAUAAAC